rnacentral:rRNA from 1 species
GAUGAACGCUAGCGGGAGGCCUAACACAUGCAAGUCGAACGGGAUUGGUAGCAAUACCAUGAGAGUGGCGCACGGGUGAGUAACGCGUAUGCAACCUGCCUUUAACAGAGGGAUAGCCCAUAGAAAUGUGGAUUAAUACCUCAUAGUUAUUUUGUUUCGCAUGGACUGAAAGAUAAAGCUCCGGCGGUUAAAGAUGGGCAGGCUUGACAUUAGCUAGUUGGUGAGGUAACGGCUCACCAAGGCGACGAGGUCUAGGGGUUCUGAGAGGAUGAUCCCCCACACUGGUACUGAGACACGGACCCGACUCCUACGGGAGGCAGCAGUGAGGAAUAUUGGUCAAUGGGCGCAAGCCUGAACCAGCCAUCCCGCGUGCAGGAUGACGGCCCUAUGGGUUGUAAACUGCUUUUGUACAGGAAGAAAAAUCUCUACGAGUAGGGAACUGCCGGUACUGUACGAAUAAGCAUCGGCUAACUCCGUGCCAGCAGCCGCCGUAA